GCAGACAGACCAUCCUGAAUAUUGUGAACCUAAUGCGUGCUGUGUCUACCUACUCGCCUGUGUGGGAGCAACUGGGAACAAUCUGUUCAGACUACUUUUUCCACAGAAUAUUCUAGAAGGUUUAUCCUAGAACCGAAUAACAAUAUUUCAGGGCCACCACAGUAAGAUACUGACCAUGGGAGAUUGCAUCUCAGUCCGUGUUCUGCUAAUGCUUCUGGCCCUAAUCAGCUAUCUAAUUGCACUGACAUUCAACAUAUUGGCUCUAUUUGGGCCCUGGACAGGUGCUUUCAUGCAAACCACACAGUAUGUACUGAGCAAGUCCACUACGCACCUAACCCCAGAUAGAUGGGUACUCUUUCUAUGGGACGUCCUUAACGUUUGGUUGAUCGGCAUGUUCAUCUAUCUGAUACACAAUCUCCGUAGAAGGGAAGCUUAUACAUGGAUGUACACCACUCCUGCUGUCCUGCCCUAUGGAUUCUACUUGUCCUGGAUUGUAAAUAGCAUGUUGAAUAUGGCAUGGUUAUUUCUG